rnacentral:rRNA from 1 species
AGCGAACGCUGGCGGCAGGCCUAACACAUGCAAGUCGAACGCAGUGGCGGACGGGUGAGUAACACGUGGGAACGUGCCUUUAGGUUCGGAAUAACUCAGGGUAACUUGUGCUAAUACCGAAUGUCUUUAUAGCGGCCCCGGUCUGAUUAGCUAGUUGGUGAGGUAUAGGCUCACCAAUGCGACGAUCAGUAUCUGGUCUGAGAGUAUGAUCAGCCACAUUGGGACUGAGACACGGCCCAAACUCCUACGGGAGGCAGCAGUGGGGAAUCGUGCGCAAUGGGUGAAAGCCUGACGCAGCCAGGCCGGGUGAAUGAGGAAGGUCUUAGGAUUGUAAAAUUCUUAUACCGGGGACGCGGUACCCGGGGAAAAAGCCCCGGCUAACUUCGUGCCAGCAGCCGCGGUAAUUC